GAGUUUGAUCGUGGCUCAGAUUGAACGCUGGCGGCAGGCCUAACACAUGCAAGUCGAGCGGUAGAGAGAAGCUUGCUUCUCUUGAGAGCGGCGGACGGGUGAGUAAUGCCUAGGAAUCUGCCUGGUAGUGGGGGAUAACGCUCGGAAACGGACGCUAAUACCGCAUACGUCCUACGGGAGAAAGCAGGGGACCUUCGGGCCCUGCGCUAUCAGAUGAGCCUAGGUCGGAUUAGCUAGUUGGUGAGGUAAUGGCUCACCAAGGCGACGAUCCGUAACUGGUCUGAGAGGAUGAUCAGUCACACUGGAACUGAGACACGGUCCAGACUCCUACGGGAGGCAGCAGUGGGGAAUAUUGGACAAUGGGCGAAAGCCUGAUCCAGCCAUGCCGCGUGUGUGAAGAAGGUCUUCGGAUUGUAAAGCACUUUAAGUUGGGAGGAAGGGCAGUAAAUUAAUACUUUAGCUGUUUUGACGUUACCGUACAGAAUAAGCACCGGCUAACUCUGUGACAGCCGCCG
rnacentral:rRNA from 1 species